UUAAGCGACUAAGCGUACACGGUGGAUGCCCUGGCAGUCAGAGGCGAUGAAGGGCGUGCUAAUCUGCGAUAAGCGCCGGUAAGGUGAUAUGAACCGUUAUAACCGGCGAUACCCGAAUGGGGAAACCCAGUGUGAUUCGUCACACUAUCAUUAACUGAAUCCAUAGGUUAAUGAGGCGAACCGGGGGAACUGAAACAUCUAAGUACCCCGAGGAAAAGAAAUCAACCGAGAUUCCCCCAGUAGCGGCGAGCGAACGGGGAGGAGCCCAGAGCCUGAAUCAGCAUGUGUGUUAGUGGAAGCGUCUGGAAAGGCGCGCGAUACAGGGUGACAGCCCCGUACACAAAAGCGCAUGUGCUGUGAGCUCGAUGAGUAGGGCGGGACACGUGGUAUCCUGUCUGAAUAUGGGGGGACCAUCCUCCAAGGCUAAAUACUCCUGACUGACCGAUAGUGAACCAGUACCGUGAGGGAAAGGCGAAAAGAACCCCGGCGAGGGGAGUGAAAAAGAACCUGAAACCGUGUACGUACAAGCAGUGGGAGCACAGGUUUACCUGUGUGACUGCGUACCUUUUGUAUAAUGGGUCAGCGACUUAUAUUCUGUAGCAAGGUUAACCGAAUAGGGGAGCCGGAGGGAAACCGAGUCUUAAUUGGGCGUUAAGUUGCAGGGUAUAGACCCGAAACCCGGUGAUCUAGCCAUGGGCAGGUUGAAGGUUGGGUAACACUAACUGGAGGACCGAACCGACUAAUGUUGAAAAAUUAGCGGAUGACCUGUGGCUGGGGGUGAAAGGCCAAUCAAACCGGGAGAUAGCUGGUUCUCCCCGAAAGCUAUUUAGGUAGCGCCUCGUGAAUUCAUCUCCGGGGGUAGAGCACUGUUUCGGCUAGGGGGCCAUCCCGGCUUACCAACCCGAUGCAAACUGCGAAUACCGGAGAAUGUUAUCACGGGAGACACACGGCGGGUGCUAACGUCCGUCGUGAAGAGGGAAACAACCCAGACCGCCAGCUAAGGUCCCAAAGUCAUGGUUAAGUGGGAAACGAUGUGGGAAGGCCCAGACAGCCAGGAUGUUGGCUUAGAAGCAGCCAUCAUUUAAAGAAAGCGUAAUAGCUCACUGGUCGAGUCGGCCUGCGCGGAAGAUGUAACGGGGCUAAACCAUGCACCGAAGCUGCGGCAGCGAACGUAUCACUUAAAGCGAUUCAGCGGGUUACGAUUGACGGAGCGAAGCGACGUCAAAGCGUAUACAAAGUCGAGUCGGUUUAAGGAUACGUUCGUUGGGUAGGGGAGCGUUCUGUAAGCCUGUGAAGGUGGCCUGUGAGGGUUGCUGGAGGUAUCAGAAGUGCGAAUGCUGACAUAAGUAACGAUAAAGCGGGUGAAAAGCCCGCUCGCCGGAAGACCAAGGGUUCCUGUCCAACGUUAAUCGGGGCAGGGUGAGUCGACCCCUAAGGCGAGGCCGAAAGGCGUAGUCGAUGGGAAACGGGUUAAUAUUCCCGUACUUGGUGUUACUGCGAAGGGGGGACGGAGAAGGCUAUGUUGGCCGGGCGACGGUUGUCCCGGUUUAAGCGUGUAGGUGUGUGUUCCAGGUAAAUCCGGUUCACUUUAACACUGAGGCGUGAUGACGAGGCACUACGGUGCUGAAGCAACAAAUGCCCUGCUUCCAGGAAAAGCCUCUAAGCAUCAGGUAACAUCAAAUCGUACCCCAAACCGACACAGGUGGUCAGGUAGAGAAUACCAAGGCGCUUGAGAGAACUCGGGUGAAGGAACUAGGCAAAAUGGUGCCGUAACUUCGGGAGAAGGCACGCUGACACGUAGGUGAAGUGAUUUACUCAUGGAGCUGAAGUCAGUCGAAGAUACCAGCUGGCUGCAACUGUUUAUUAAAAACACAGCACUGUGCAAACACGAAAGUGGACGUAUACGGUGUGACGCCUGCCCGGUGCCGGAAGGUUAAUUGAUGGGGUCAGCGCAAGCGAAGCUCCUGAUCGAAGCCCCGGUAAACGGCGGCCGUAACUAUAACGGUCCUAAGGUAGCGAAAUUCCUUGUCGGGUAAGUUCCGACCUGCACGAAUGGCGUAAUGAUGGCCAGGCUGUCUCCACCCGAGACUCAGUGAAAUUGAACUCGCUGUGAAGAUGCAGUGUACCCGCGGCAAGACGGAAAGACCCCGUGAACCUUUACUAUAGCUUGACACUGAACAUUGAGCCUUGAUGUGUAGGAUAGGUGGGAGGCUUUGAAGUGUGGACGCCAGUCUGCAUGGAGCCGACCUUGAAAUACCACCCUUUAAUGUUUGAUGUUCUAACGUGGACCCGUGAUCCGGGUUGCGGACAGUGUCUGGUGGGUAGUUUGACUGGGGCGGUCUCCUCCUAAAGAGUAACGGAGGAGCACGAAGGUUGGCUAAUCCUGGUCGGACAUCAGGAGGUUAGUGCAAUGGCAUAAGCCAGCUUGACUGCGAGCGUGACGGCGCGAGCAGGUGCGAAAGCAGGUCAUAGUGAUCCGGUGGUUCUGAAUGGAAGGGCCAUCGCUCAACGGAUAAAAGGUACUCCGGGGAUAACAGGCUGAUACCGCCCAAGAGUUCAUAUCGACGGCGGUGUUUGGCACCUCGAUGUCGGCUCAUCACAUCCUGGGGCUGAAGUAGGUCCCAAGGGUAUGGCUGUUCGCCAUUUAAAGUGGUACGCGAGCUGGGUUUAGAACGUCGUGAGACAGUUCGGUCCCUAUCUGCCGUGGGCGCUGGAGAACUGAGGGGGGCUGCUCCUAGUACGAGAGGACCGGAGUGGACGCAUCACUGGUGUUCGGGUUGUCAUGCCAAUGGCACUGCCCGGUAGCUAAAUGCGGAAGAGAUAAGUGCUGAAAGCAUCUAAGCACGAAACUUGCCCCGAGAUGAGUUCUCCCUGAGACUUAGAGUCUCCUGAAGGAACGUUGAAGACGACGACGUUGAUAGGCCGGGUGUGUAAGCGCAGCGAUGCGUUGAGCUAACCGGUACUAAUGAACCGUGAGGCUUAACCUU
rnacentral:rRNA from 1 species